UUAGGAUCUAGAUUCUAGAAUACUCCCACACACAUUUCACCCAAACACACACUAAAUAUCUCUCUAGAAUUCUCUAUGAAUCUCUUGAACUCUCACUUGGAUCAAUAGCCAAAUCAUCACACCUUGUCGUUAGGUUGCCAUCGACGUAGCUCCCAUCAUUAGACCUCCCCCACGCACUCGGCCGUCUCCGGCAGCUACCGUCCGUCGCCUCUCCGGCGGCGAGUUUUGCUGCAAGCAGUAAAGUUUCCCCUCUUUUCUCAUGGCUUCUUCUCCACUUCUCUAACCUCCAUUAAUGGAUUUCAAGGUUGAAGCUUUGUUUCCCCAAACUCAAGUUUCUUGCGAAUUAAGGGGUGAGUGGUGACGCAUCCAAGGCUCGAGGAUGGACAACCUAAACCAAGCUUGAGGAGGUUAUUUUGAAUUUCAGCUUUCGAGGUGGGGUUUACUUUAUCUGUAAGCGUAGUGGUUACAUGGUUAUAAUCAUUGUUGUGUCGUGCGUCAUUCGUAUGAGCUUAUGGGCCCACGAGGGGUCAGAUCCAUGAGGGAUCAUAUGGGUCGCUGACAGCCCACCAAUAGCCCACGAGGGGUCAGGUCCACGAGGGACCGAGGCUAGUCUCAUAUAGAUGUCAACAAAGUUGAGAUGGUUAAGGAGUCGGUGACGGGGCAGCAGUCAACGUGGUCCACGGUCUCCCAGCCGCUAUGUUUGACUAGUAGAUCCUUUGGUAUUUGGGUAAAAGUGAAUUGUUUGGAGAGUGAACUUGAUAACUUUUAUGCUAUUAUAUUUUGAAUGAUGUAGGUUUCAAUCCGAUUAAGCAGGAUAUUUUAUUUUGGU